UAUGGUUAAGGGUUGUAGAAGUAUGCUUUACAAGCCUUCCACUUGAAUAGUCUUGCAGUAAAAGAUGAUGGGACCAGCAGUCUUCGGAUAUUUUUUAUGCUUUCUUGCGAUUCUUGUGAUCCAGCCAGCAUUUCAUCCAAAUCUUCUGUUUGUUGAAGGCACAGAAAACCGUUAAGGAAGAAAUUUCCUCAUGUCAGGAUUCAACUCCACUGAGGUUGCAGUUUAUUGAAGGUCAAUGUAAAUAUCUUACAGUCUCAAGGAGAAGAAAGAGGAUACUUCUCAGAUUUGACAUGUGAUCUGCUCUCUCCCAUUUGAUCUCCAUCCACUCAGAACAGUUAGAUCAGUUCUGAUUUCAUUGUUGAUCUCUUUUUUCCUCUUCUAGUACAUGGCUGUCUACUCGAUUAAAGCUUGGAAAGGAUGCAAUCUGUUGCUUCUUCCAAAUUCUUACUCAAUGGGUCGACCUUCAACCUCUCUCUCUCUCGGCCUGGUACAGCAAUCUGCAUUAAUCGCUGUCUUACUGUUUACCAAUUACUUAACCACUCAUUUGGAGCAGUUGUGGCUAUAAAUUAUGCGAGCUCUUAUAGGUGUUCCAUGGAUUGAAGACAAACAUAGGAUGUUUUUCUUGGACUACAGAAGCUUAGCAAAGGUGAUUGGCGUGGAAUAGCUCGCAAUUAUGUUAUAUCAAGGACACCUACUCUAGUGGCUAGCCAUGCUCAAAAAUAUUUCAUCAGGCAAACCAAUGUAUCUCAAGAGAAAGAGACAUUCCAGCCUGUUUGAUAUAUAGCAGAUGAAUCAGCCAACACUCCGAUGGUACCUCAUGACUUCUUAUCUGUCAACGACUCACAGGCUGAAACACAGAGCAAUCCUCCAUUGCCUGCUCAUCCUGCCCUGGACGAAGAAUGUGAAUCAAUGGAAUCUAUCAACUCCAGUGAUGGAGAUCCUAUUCCUCCGAAGACAGAGAGCUCACAACCUUGCUUCCCAGUUAUGCAAAUAAUUGUGUCACCAGAAUUACUCUUUACAUAUCAUUCUCAUCUAUUUUAUCGUAUAAUUUCAUAACUCACUCUAACAUUUUCAGUUUAUAGUUUAUACCCCCAAUACUAACACCUACGAUUAGCAGAGAUUUGGGAUAAAAAAGAUCUAAACUCUAGACGAUUCCAUGGGCUCCUUCAACUUUCAUGAUCAAAAACCCCCUAACAGAGAGAUCAGUGAGUGGCAGUGAGGCAUGGUGGUGAUUUUCGACGGUGACGCUGAUAUUGGGUUUGGUGUUGUUGGCACACAAGAAGCUCAUUGCAGAGAAGCUUGCAGAGGAAGGAGCCGAACAGAACGUCAAGUGGGAGGCCAAGAAGGAAAAAUACUUGGUAACAAGUCUAUCAUAUUGAACUGCAUUGUUCAAGAGCAACAGCUGCAUUGAGGCUGCACCAAUUAAGUGCUACUGCAUCUAAAGAUACAAUAAUCAUUGAUGUACUGUAAUAGAUAGCUAGUAGGGAUUAGCAAACAUUAAGAUACUUAGCAUUGUAUUAGGAAUAUUACUUGAUGUUUAAUGAUACAAUAAUCAUUGUUUAAUGAAUCAUAUUGGGACAAACAAAUUAAAUUCUAUGCAACACUUA